rnacentral:lncRNA from 1 species
GCGAGAGAGACAGAGAGAAAGAGAGAAAGAGAAAGAGAGCAAGACAGAGAGAGAGAGCGAGAGAGAGAGAGAGAGACAGAGAGAGACAGUGAGAGAGAGAGAGACAGAGAGAGAGUGGAAGACAGACACAGAGAGAGAGAGAGAGAGAGAGAGAGAGAGAGAGAGAGAGAGAGAGAGAGAGAGACACAGGAGAUUCCGGAGUUCCAAAUUGAGCAGCAGCUGCUGAAAAAUGAGCUCCUACAAAUAUUGAAAUUUACAUGGUUUUUAGAGUGAAGUACAUCGGAAAAAAGCAAAAGAAAACUGCAAGACUGAAUAGGAGACAAAACAAGCAACAAACAAAGAAGAUAGGCUUUUGAAAAAGUAACUAUUUUUCAUAAAAUUGUAGUUAUCUUAGCUAGCUGAAUUGUUUACCAGUUGCUAAGCAGUUGCUAGGGACUCUCCUGGAAGAAGCUAGCUAGCUAACGAAGAACAACAAAGAAUAUCUAGUUAACAGAAGAAAAGAAAGAGAAAAUCAGGACAGAAGAAAAAGGAUAUCAGAGUGAAACAGUUCUCUAAAGACACAGGAGACAAUAAUACAAGAAACAACGCUUCUAUUGCAACAUUGUAGCCAACAUCACCAGCGUUGCUAUGGAAAUUGUUUACCCACCAGACAUCCAAACAGAGAAAACUAAGAAAAGUUUCAAAGGUUUGUUGAUGAGACAGAACCAUGAAUGCCUGUUUGCAGAUCUUACCAGUUGCAAAACAAGAGCAAAUUGAAUUUUUAAUACCAAACGAGGGCACAUAUGGAAAAUGAUUAUUUGGAACCAUUUCCCUUUCUCAAAAAAGAGAGGCAUCAGCCAACGAUGUCAGAUUAGCAUUUUUGAAGAAGCUGACCAGAGCAACACAUAUCAAACAGUGAACUUAUAUAAUAAUGGAACUGUAUUGAUACAAGGUAAUGAUUCAAACCUCCAGGCCUUUGAGAAUAGGUUUGCUACCCUAAAAGCAGAAGCUGAAAUCAUCUCAGAAACUGAGGAAAAAGUCAAGGAGGGAGAUGGAGAAAAGCAGACCCCAACGGUCUCUGUGACCCAGCAAGAAGCCCUCAGUGUCCCUCUACCUACCUCACCUGCAGCAGACAGAGCCAAGGACAUGCCUACAACACCAAGAACUCCUGCUAUGCAAUGUUUCCACAACACCCUCUCUCUAGUCGAAGCAGAGGUCAUAGAACUCAGAGAGAACAAGCUUCAAGAGGAGGACACUGUCCAGAAACUAAAAGAAGAGAUGAAACAGUUCAGGGAGGAGAGCAGAGCAUCUAUUACUAAAUUACAAAGCAGAAUGGACAAACUGAGUCAGACAAAUGAUGACCUCAGAGACCUUCUGAGCACAACAAGAAAGGAGCUAGAACAAAGAGAGAGGUACAUUGACCCCCUCAACCAGCAGCGAGUCAUUAUGUCCUCUGCAUCUAGAGAACAUGUCGACCAGCUUGGCAUAACACAAGCAGAACCUGAGACCAGCAUGGCCUCCACCACACAGCCUGAUGACACUGCACCAGCCUACCAGUCUGCUCCAGCCCAGAUCAGCCAACCAGCGUCCCAGUCUGCUCCAGCCCAUGUCAGCCUACCUGCUUCCCAGUCUGCUCCAGCACAAUGCGCUCCAGCUCAGGUCAACCUACCAGCCUCCCAGUCUGCUCCACCCAGACAAUCACCCACAACUGCAAUCCUUAUUGAUUCAAAUGGGAAGUUCUUAGUCCAGGAAAGAUUAUUCCCUAGACACCAGGUGUAUAAGUUCUGGUGUCCUACAACUGACAGUGCAAUGCAGCUACUCAGUCAGACCAGGAUUGACACCCCCGACAACAUCAUCAUCCACACUGGCACAAACCACCUUCAUGCCAAAGGUGAAAAUGUAUCUGGGGCAGUGAGAAGAGUGGCAGAACGGGCACAGGCUCGGUUCCCAACAACCAAUAUAGUUGUGUCCACCCUCCUACCAAGAAAAGACUUCCCAGGACAGUUGAUGGACAAAAUAAAUCAACAGAUCACUGUGGACUGUGCCUCACUGCUCAACGUCUGAACGGCUCACCACCCCACUCUGACAUGUCAACACUUAUAUGAUAAUGUACAUCUUGAUCAGGACAGUAUCAGAACCUUUGCCAAGGACCUAAAAGAUGCAACACUUGGCAGGGACCCACACACCCAUCACCCCAGCAACAGAGGUCCCCCGCCUCACCUUCUGAAACAACAGUACCUCCACC